GACGUAGGGCGCGAGCGUUGUCCGGAUUUAUUGGGCGUAAAGAGCUCGUAGGUGGUUUGUCGCGUUGUUCGUGAAAACUCACAACUCAAUUGUGGGCGUGCGGGCGAUACGGGCAGACUGGAGUACUGCAGGGGAGACUGGAAUUCCUGGUGUAGCGGUGGAAUGCGCAGAUAUCAGGAGGAACACCGGUGGCGAAGGCGGGUCUCUGGGCAGUAACUGACGCUGAGGAGCGAAAGCGUGGGGAGCAAACAGG
rnacentral:rRNA from 1 species